AGGAUCAAAUGGGGUUAACUUAUCCCUUAAUGACCUUCUACCAUGCAUACAUUUUCCACAACUUAAUUAUACUCAAUUUUUAAACGAAAUCCUAAAAGAUAAGAAGAAGGGCUAGACCAAGAUGACCACAAUCAACACCACACAAUAGAUUGGCUCUUUAAUCUUGAGGUUAAAGAAGGUUUAGUAGCUUUUAAUCUAGUUGCACAGAGAUUUAUCAGG
rnacentral:lncRNA from 1 species